rnacentral:rRNA from 1 species
CCUACGGGUGGCAGCAGUGAGGAAUAUUGGUCAAUGGGCGGGAGCCUGAACCAGCCAAGUCGCGUGAGGGACGACGGUCCUAUGGAUUGUAAACCUCUUUUGUCGGGGAACAAAGGCGUCCACGGGUGGGCGGAUGAGUGUACCCGAAGAAAAAGCAUCGGCUAACUCCGUGCCAGCAGCCGCGGUACUACGGAGGAUGCGAGCGUUAUCCGGAUUUAUUGGGUUUAAAGGGUUCGUAGGCGGACAGUCAAGUCAGCGGUAAAAAUGCGGUGCUCAACGCCGUACAGCCGUUGAAACUGGCAGUCUUGAGUGGGCGAGAAGUAUGCGGAAUGCGUGGUGUAGCGGUGAAAUGCUUAGAUAUCAUGAAGAACUCCGAUCGCGAAGGCAAGUGUCCGGGGUGCAACUGACGCUGGGGCUCGAAAGUGCGGGUAUCAAACAGGAUUAGAUACCCGGGUAGUC